rnacentral:rRNA from 1 species
GGCUGCGGUUCAAUUGGACUCAACGCCGGAAAACUCACCGGGAGCGACAGCAGUAUGAUUGCCAGUUGAUGACCUUGCUUGACAAGCUGAGAGGAGGUGCAUGGCCGCCGUCAGUUCGUACCGUGAGGCGUUCCUGUUAAGUCAGGCAACGAACGAGACCCUUGCAUCUAGUUGCCAGCAGAUCCCUUCGGGAUGCUGGGUACCCUAGAUGGACCGCCACUGCUAAAGUGGAGGAAGGAGAGGGCGACGGUAGGUCAGUAUGCCCCGAAUCUCCCGGGCUACACGCGGCCUACAAUGGACAGGACAAUGGGCUCCGAUCCCGAAAGGGAAAGGCAAUCCUUUAAACCUGUUCUUAGUUCGGAUUGAGGGCUGUAACUCGCCCUCAUGAAGCUGGAAUCUCUAGUAAUCGCGUGUCAUUAUCGCGCGGUGAAUACGUCCCUGCUCCUU